rnacentral:rRNA from 1 species
AACGAACGCUGGCGGCAUGCCUAACACAUGCAAGUCGAACGAACCCUUCGGGGUUAGUGGCGCACGGGUGCGUAACGCGUGGGAAUCUGCCCUUUGCUUCGGAAUAACUCAGGGAAACUUGUGCUAAUACCGGAUGAUGUCUUCGGACCAAAGAUUUAUCGGCAAGGGAUGAGCCCGCGUAGGAUUAGGUAGUUGGUGGGGUAAAGGCCUACCGAGCCGACGAUCCUUAGCUGGUCUGAGAGGAUGAUCAGCCACACUGGGACUGAGACACGGCCCAGACUCCUACGGGAGGCAGCAGUGGGGAAUAUUGGACAAUGGGCGCAAGCCUGAUCCAGCAAUGCCGCGUGAGUGAUGAAGGCCCUCGGGUCGUAAAGCUCUUUUACCAGGGAUGAUAAUGACAGUACCUGGAGAAUAAGCUCCGGCUAACUCCGUG